UGCAGGGACUUCACAGCCCACACAGGCUAUGAGGCGCUGCUGCAGCGGCUGCUGGAUGGCAGGAAGAUGUGCAAGGAUGUGGAAGACUUGCUGCGGCAGAGCACCCUGAGGGCCUCCUUUGACUCCCUGAAGCAGCGUAAGUCCCCACCAUCCCCGCCUGGGCUGCAGGGUAAUGGAGCGGGUGGAUGCCGGUGAGGAGAGUGAGGCAGGCUGUCACUGGCUUUGUGCUAGGUUGCAAAGCUGUUGUAGGGCAAAGAAGAGGAGAGGGUGCCAAGCAGGGAUGGGCAGGGGAGCGGUGGUGGUCUGAGGCAGGCUUGCCCCCAGAGACAGAGAACGUGGGCAGCGCGCACCUCCAGCUGGCCCUGGCCCUGCGAGAAGAGCUGCGGAGCCUGGAGGAGUUCCGAGAGCGGCAGAAGGAGCAGAGGCGCAAGUAUGAGGCCGUAAUGGACCGCAUCCAGAAGAGCAAGCUGUCACUCUACAAGAAGGCCAUGGAGUCCAAGAGAACAUAUGAGCAGAAGUGCCGGGACGCGGAUGAUGCCGAGCAGGCCUGCGAGCGCAUCAGUGCCAGUGGGAGCAGUGCCAGCCAGAAGCAAGUGGAGAAGAGCCAGAACAAGGCCAAGCAGUGCAAGGAUGCAGCCACCGAAGCAGAGAGGGCCUACAGGCAGAGCAUUGAGCAGCUGGAGAAGGUGCGGGCUGAGUGGGAGCAGGAGCACCGGACCACCUGUGAGGCCUUCCAGCUUCAAGAGUUCGACCGGCUGGUCAUCCUGCGCAAUGCCCUGUGGGUGCACUGCAACCAGCUCUCCAUGCAGUGUGUCAAGGACGACGAGGUGGGCAGGGGCAGGCGAGUGGGAGGGGUGUCCAGGGCUGGUCAGCAGCUUCCUGGCCCUCUGUGCUCCAGUCAGGAGUCUUAG
rnacentral:lncRNA from 1 species